AUGGAGGAUUCAUAGUAGUGUAGGCUCUCU
rnacentral:sRNA from 1 species